GGGAAACUCCAGGAGGGGCUGGCCUCAGGCCUCGAAACAAUAUUAUGGGGCA
rfam:Heterocephalus glaber contig34159, whole genome shotgun sequence.